UCUUCUUUUUCAUUCUUCUUUCUUCUUCUCUUUCAUUCUUCUCUGUUCUUUCUUCUUUCCUUCUUUCGGUCGAUUCGGUCGACGAAGCUAGCUUAAUUUGAUGCGAGUGGUUCAUCAAAGUUUAGUAGUUAGUUGUAUGAUGGAGAAGGUGAUGGUGCUGAAAUUGUUCGACCAUAGAAAGAAGCAGAAAAGGGUAAGCUAAUUUAGGGUUCAAAUUGGUUGAUGCUUAUUUAUGAAAUUGUUCUUGUUGAUUGAUUAUAGAGUGGGUUUACUCUUAAUUGAAGUAUAGAUGGAUGUAUAGGUUUAAUUUUAGUUUCAUAGAUAAUUAGGGUUUGUGUUGUUUUUCCCCAAAUUAGAGUUAGGGUUCCUGAAUCGGGUAGUUCAGAUGAAUAUGUUGAAGUGAGUAGCAGUAUUCAGAUUUGAGUUAUUGAUUUGGGGUUUUGAAUCUUGUUUUGGGUUGUUUGAAAAUGAGAAGCAUUUUGGUGAAUGGAGGCAGGGAUGAUGAAUCUGUGGAUGGAGGUAGUAAUUGAUGGAUAGAAUGAGACCCAAGGAAACUCAGUUAUAAUCUGGUGGAGCUAAAUGAUUUCAGGGAGUUCAUGGAGUUAAGCUCAGUUGGAAAUGAAGAAGAUGAAUGGACGUUACAGAAUUAAGAAAAAUUUCCUGAAAUGACAAUGAUGUUGUUGUUGUGGUGUUGAUGCUGUACAGUUGUUGGUAGAAGCUAAAUUUAGUUGCUUGUGACAAACAUGAAGAAGUUGAUGUGUUGUAUGUAUUUUGAAUUAGAAGAAUUGUUGUAAUACAGCUUAAUUGGUUGAGAUGGUGAUUUAGAUAGCUUUUUUGCUGAAGCUGGAGAUGAAUGGAUUGAGCUGUGGCUGUAGUUUCGAUUUGAUGUGGGUUACAUGAAGACAAAAGAUGGUUAAAUGUGCGAGUGUUGUGAACUGAAUCUUACAACUGAAACAGAGAUGGUGUUGUUGUUGGUACUUAAUUUGUUAUUUGUCUUUGGGAAUGCUCAGGAGUUACAAGAAUGAAAUAUAAAGUAUGGCUGGUUAGUGAUAUGGAUUUGUACCUUCAGUUGAGAGCAAGGACUUGAUAGUGUUGAUGCAGUUAGAACUGUGGUUGGAGUUAUAGGAAUUUGGUAUAUGCUGGAAUGUAUAUGAGGUGUUGAUGAUUGAAGUUACACUUUCGAAGAAUACCAGUAUCGUAAUAAGUUGCAGUUGAAGAUUAUGUAUGAACUGUUGGGAUUCAUUUUACAAAAGAAUGAAACUGGAAUUGGAACUGCAGAGGUUGAGGAACUGCUGGUGGAAGUGUAGCCAGGGAUGAAGAUGUUGUAGAGACGAUGUUCAAGACUCAAAUGGAUUAAGAGAUGGAUUGCAGUUGUUGCAGUUGAGCUGGAUCAGUUCAUUUGUUAGUCGCAGUUGUUGGAAAUGAGAUGUACUUAGUAGCUACUGGAGUUAGUCUUUAUUAACAACGAUCGAUUCAGAGGGAUUGAGGAUCUCGAGGUAGGCGAGGCUUGUCAUCCAAAAAGGUGGGAACUCUGUAACCUUUUUAUAAUCAUUAAGAUUUCUUAUAUCUGCGAGCAUGAUGAGUCUUUACUAUUUCUGUGAGCAUGGUUGUAUGUACUUUGAUGUACUAUAUAUUCUUGUAUCUUUAUGUAUGAUGUUUAUGUUGUAUCUGUAUGUAUGGUGUUUGCCACGAUGUGUUUGUGUAUGAUAUGAUAUGUAUUGUGAGAUUUCCCUGCGAGGAGUGUUUGUGUUUCCCCACGGCUCUUAGCUAAGUUAAGUAAGGUGGUAAUUCAUACGUCGACAAUAUUAUUUAGUAGGGCGGUAAUUCAUCGUUUAAAUAUUAUUAUAUCUAUUUCAUUAGUAGGGCGGUAAUUCAUUCAUAUUAAUAUUGUUGCUUAUUAAAAUAGUAGGGAGGUAACUCAUCCGUUUGAAUAUUACCUAGUUGGGCGGUAAUUCAUCCGUUAUGAUAUUAUGUAUACUAUUUUAUUUGAGGGAAAUCACUCGUGUGCAUAUUAUACUUGUUCGUCUAACUUCUGAUCUUCAUGGUAAUAUUCUGAACUAUAGUUUGUAUGGGCACUCUGUGUGGAUGAUGUUAUUAUUAUUGGUUAGGGUUGUUCUCGCGUCGUCUUCUCCAAUGAGUUUGGUGAGGUUAGGAUAACACUUUAUUUUGUUGCAUGAAUUGCUGAAUGCUUAGAUUUCAUUAUUCUUCUUUUCAAUUUCUAUUCUUAGAACUGUAAAUCAUGUUUGUGAUUACUUGGAAGUUAUAUAUUUCUUUGGGCACCCUUUGGGACGAUGUGCUCACUUGCUCCCACUUCAAUUUCAGUAAUCAGAAGGAAUGAAGUGUGUGAAGAUAUCCGUUUUCAUAGAUUAGUGCUCUACCGAACAUUAGCGUUGUCGUAUAUAUGUACUUUAUGUAUUCUUUCUUUAUUUUGUAAAACAACACAUUUAUAUACUUAUAUAACAUGAGAGACUUCCAAAAUACUGUAUCAGAGAGUUUGGGUUUGUUUGCUAGCGAUUUAUGUGAAGAUGGUUCUUAAGAUUGAUAA